GAUGAACGCUGGCGGCGUGCCUAAUACAUGCAAGUCGAGCGAACAGACGAGGAGCUUGCUCCUCUGACGUUAGCGGCGGACGGGUGAGUAACACGUGGAUAACCUCCCUAUAAGACUGGGAUAACUUCGGGAAACCGGAGCUAAUACCGGAUAAUAUAUUGAACCGCAUGGUUCAAUAGUGAAAGACGGUUUUGCUGUCACUUAUAGAUGGAUCCGCGCCGCAUUAGCUAGUUGGUAAGGUAACGGCUUACCAAGGCAACGAUGCGUAGCCGACCUGAGAGGGUGAUCGGCCACACUGGAACUGAGACACGGUCCAGGCUCCUACGGGAGGCAGCAGUAGGUAAUCUUCCGCAAUGGGCGAAAGCCUGACGGAGCAACGCCGCGUGAGUGAUGAAGGUCUUCGGAUCGUAAAACUCUGUUAUUAGGGAAGAACAAAUGUGUAAGUAACUAUGCACGUCUUGACGGUACCUAAUCAGAAAGCCACGGCUAACUACGUG
rnacentral:rRNA from 1 species